GUUGGUCUAAUACAAACCAGCCAGGUUGUAGUUGGUCUAGUCUAGUACAAACCAGCCAGGUUGUAGUUGGUCUAGUCUAGUACAAACCAGCCAGGUUGUAGUUGGUCUAGUCUAGUACAAACCAGCCAGGUUGUAGUUGGUCUAGUCUAGUACAAACCAGCCAGGUUGUAGUUGGUCUAGUCUAGUACAAACCAGCCAGGUUGUAGUUGGUCUAGUCUAGUACAAACCAGCCAGGUUGUAGUUGGUCUAGUCUAGUACAAACCAGCCAGGUUGUAGUUGGUCUAAUACAAACCAG